GAGCAAGGGGAGCUAAUAUAAACAUAUUGGCUGAGAGGUGCAUGAGCACGACCCUAUAAAACCUGAUUUGGAUAAUGCCAACGUAGGGAUGCAUGUUUU
rnacentral:ncRNA from 1 species